AAAGAUUUUAAGUUAACAAAACUUAUAGCCUUCAAAGCUAUCAUUAAAAAUAAAAAUUUUUUAAGUCUUA
rnacentral:tRNA from 1 species